rnacentral:sRNA from 1 species
AGAGCGAGGACGCUAACAGGAACAAUGACUCAGGAUGAGGGUCAGGAGCGCCAGGAGGCGAAGACAGAGGAUUGUCAGGAAGACAAACGUCCGGAGACGUAAUUAAACGGAAAUGGAAUCAACACGGAUUGUUCCGGCUAAUGGAAAAACAGGGUGUGUUGGCGGCCUGCAAGGAUUGUAAGACCCGUUAAGGGUUAUGAGUCAGGAAAAAAGGCGACAGAGUAAUCUGUCGCCUUUUUUCUUUGCUUGCUU